UACGUAGGGUGCGAGCGUUGUCCGGAAUUAUUGGGCGUAAAGAGCUUGUAGGCGGUCUGUCGCGUCUGCUGUGAAAACCCGCAGCUCAACUGUGGGCUUGCAGCUGAUACGGGCGGGCUGGAGUUCGGUAGGGGAGACUGGAAUUCCUGGUGUAGCGGUGAAAUGCGCAGAUAUCAGGAGGAACACCGGUGGCGAAGGCGGGUCUCUGGGCCGAUACUGACGCUGAGGAGCGAAAGCGUGGGGAGCGAACAGG
rnacentral:rRNA from 1 species